GAUGAACGCUGGCGGCGUGCCUAAUACAUGCAAGUCGAGCGAAGCGGUGACGGGUGAGUAACACGUGGAUAACCUCCUAUAAGACUGGGAUAACUUCGGUAAACCGGAGCUCAACCGGUUACUUAUAGAUGGAUCCGCGCUGCAUUAUCUAGUUGGUAAUGUAACGGCUUACCAAGGCAACGAUGCAUAGCCGACCUGAGAGGUUGAUCGGCCAAACUGGAACUGAGACACGGUCCAGACUCCUACGGGAGGCAGCAGUAGGGAAUCGUCCGCAAUGGGCGAAAGCCUGACGCAGCAACGCAGCGUUAGUGAUGAAGGCCUGCGGAUCGUAAAACUCUGUUAUUAGGGAAGCGGUACCUAAGCAGAAAGCAACGGCUAACUACGUGCAAGCAGCCGCGGUAAUAC
rnacentral:rRNA from 1 species